rnacentral:tRNA from 1 species
GGGGAAAUUCUAAUGUUGGUAAUUAGAACUAAAUUGUAACUUUAGUGCCUUUGUGCUGCGAUAGUUCGAUUCUAUCUUUCCUCA